GGGAAGGUGGCUCAGUGGUAGAGUGCUUGCCUUGCAUGCAUGAGGCCCUGGGUUCCAUUCCUCAGCACCCCA
rnacentral:tRNA from 1 species